ACGUACACUCCUGCGGGAGGCAGCAGUGGGGAAUAUUGGACAAUGGGCGCAAGCCUGAUCCAGCCAUGCCGCGUGAGUGAUGAAGGCCCUAGGGUUGUAAAGCUCUUUCACCGGUGAAGAUAAUGACGGUAACCGGAGAAGAAGCCCCGGCUAACUUCGUGCCAGCGGCCGCGGUAAUACGAAGGGGGCUAGCGUUGUUCGGAUUUACUGGGCGUAAAGCGCACGUAGGCGGACUAUUAAGUCAGGGGUGAAAUCCCGGGGCUCAACCCCGGAACUGCCUUUGAUACUGGUAGUCUUGAGUUCGAGAGAGGUGAGUGGAAUUCCGAGUGUAGAGGUGAAAUUCGUAGAUAUUCGGAGGAACACCAGUGGCGAAGGCGGCUCACUGGCUCGAUACUGACGCUGAGGUGCGAAAGCGUGGGGAGCAAACAGGAUUAGAAACCCGAGUAGUCCC
rnacentral:rRNA from 1 species